UUCCCGCUAGCAGACUCCCCGACAGACUGGUGGAUGAAACAAGCUACCGCAUUGGAGAAGCCAAGUGGCAAAGAACUGAGGGUGGCCUCCAGUCAACAGCCAGCAAGGAACUGAUGCCCUCAGUCCAAAAGGCAUGAAGACUGGCAACAGCCACUGAGUGAGAUAGGAAGCCAGUUCCACUUCAAGUAAAUCUUGACUGCAGCCUUGUGAGAGAACCUCAAGUCAGCAGCCCAGGUAAGCCACAUUCAGAUUCCUGACCACCUAAAACUGAAGCCAAUAAAAUGUGAAAGAGAAGCAGUGAUAGCAAGAAUCCUAAAUUUGCUUCUAACUUGAAAGGUUUCUAAAGUUUUAUCAUUAAGAAAGAAGGAUGAACAGAAAAUAGGGAACAAUGUAAAUAAGACGCAAGAAAAAGAGAUGGAAAAAAAAUGGCAAUGCAAGAUGUUAAACAGAGACACAUACCUCAGGAGUCAAGGUAAGUACAGAUAAACUAAAUGUACUUAUUUUAAGAGUGACUGUUUGAAUAACAAAAGAACACUCAAUUAUAAGCAAAUGCCUUAAAAGUAAUGCAGCGAAUUUAAAUACAACUAUUUGAAGAAAAAGAGUAAUCAGGAAAAUAUCACCAAAAGAAAACUAGUAUGUACUUGACAAUAUUAAUAGCAUGUAAGUUAAUAUAAAACAUGAUUAUAAAUACAAUGACUACAGAUAGAAGCAGCAAUUAAUCAAGACUAUAUAAAAAUCAUGAACUCGUGCAUCCAGCUAUGACAACAUACACAUAUGCGAACAAUCAUAGUGGAAGAUUUCACACAAUUUGCUGAGAAAUUAUCAAAUAAAGGAGAUAAAAAGUGUAAGAUAUCAUGAACAUUUUCUUAUGUCAUUUAGAGCUUUAAUUUCAUUUUAAAUGUCUCUAUAGUUUUACUUGAAUAGGUUCUGAAUGAAAUUAAAUGACCCUUUUUCUUCAUCACUUAGCAUGUUGCCAGUUUUUUGCUUUUGCAAAGAGCAUUGUGAUAGAUACACAUCUUGCACUACUAUGUUUUAGAUUCCUGGAGACCUGAAUUUCAAGGUGGUAUCAUUUUAUUUUAGUCUGAAGAACAUCCAUUAGUAUUCAGAGUGCAGGUCUGCUGUGGACAAAUUUUUCAGGUUUUGUUUGCCCAAAAA